CGGUGACUGGGACUAAGUCGUAACAAGGUCUUCGUAGGUGAACCUGCAGAAGGAUCA
rnacentral:rRNA from 1 species